rnacentral:misc_RNA from 1 species
CUCUAACGCAUGCGCAAUCAGGAUACGUCGUCACUGCAAUCGGGCGUCAUUACAUGUGACGAUCCUCAGGCAGAAAGCAGUCUAAUUUGCUGACAAGUUGUACAGGUAUCCACUUACUUUCAUAUGAAGCGCCAGCAGGAGUGCCUGUGAUGGAUGUAGACAGUGAUCUUGAUGGCAAACUGCUUCAGCAGUUUAGUUCCAUGGGUACUACAGAUCGAGAAGUUCUCAUCUCAGAGUUCCAGAAACUGCUGGGAAACAAGCUGAAUCCGGAAUGUUGUGCUUUUUUCUUAGACAUGAAUAAUUGGAAUCUACAGGCAGCAAUAGGAUCCUACUAUGAUUUUGAACAGCCAAGUGUAGUCCUGCCAUCUAUGGCAUUGGUCAAGGAUGUCACUAUUGGGGAAGGAGAAUCUGUACCACCUAGAACCAAGUUUUUGAAAACUUGGCGAAUUCAAAAUACAGGUACAGAAGCCUGGCCACCAGGAUGCAGUCUGCGUUUUUGUGGAGGUGAUAACAUGGGAGUUACAGACUGGUGCAUUGUUGAUGCUCUUGCACCUGGAGAGAUUUAUGACCUUAGCAUAGAAAUGACAAGUCCAAUGUGCACAGGCGUCUACCAAGGCCAGUGGCGUAUGUCAACCCCCACUGGCCAUUAUUUUGGAGAAAUUAUAUGGGUGAUAGUAACAGUGGAAGAAAAUGGUCUUCUUGGUCUGACACAGCAGAUGUCUCGAUUUGGCAACUUUGGGCCUCAAGGACAGUUUGAUGACAGUCGUUUGUACAGCCCUAGUCAAAUGGCACUAGUGCCUGUGACAUCUGCAGGAACAGCAUCUACCCUUCACUCUGAAAACCCUUGUGCAAGCACAAUUUCAGACAUCACUUCUCAAGAACCCAGCUCCAUGCCUGCCUCUUCAGCUGAACGCUGGCUUUUUCAAGAAGAGAGAAACUCACUUCUUUGCCUCCCCCAAGCUUAAAUCUUCGUCUGACUGGUCUUUCCAAGAGUCUACUGCCCUUUUAUGUCUACAGACUAUCUUUCUUUUUUGAAUGAGCUCAGCUGAUGUGGCACCACACACAGAUCAUUCCCAGGAUACAGAAAUGUCCUAGUGUACAGCUGUGGAUGGAUGUGCAGGCAGUGUGAAUGUGGGCUUGUUCUGGGUGCAGGCUUUUACUCAAGCAUUUUGUGAUUUGUUGAAUGAAUUAGCAUCAAUGCAGCAAUUUUGUGUGGGGAAGAUGCUACAUCUGCAAUGUGUUAGUUUCCAUUGUUGAAAAAAAACAAAGAAAUACAUGCUAUGAGAAAACUGACCUAUAUCUAACUUGCAGAGUAUCUUACAAGUUCUUUUGUUCAAAUAGAGCCUUAUUUGCUUUGAGUUUCUGUGGUUUGAAGGAAUCUUCACUGGUUGUUAAAAUCAAGCUGUUGAAGAUUUAUUGCACUUUCCUCAUGUAAUAGAAUUUGAAAAGCUGUAAAACUGGUUGGUAUUUGUCAGUAUUGCCUAUAUAUAUACCAUUUGUAGUCAUACCUUUGGCAAUCCAUGGGUGGCCAAUUUUUCUUAAGAGUGGUCAAAGAACAUUGGUUAAUUUCCUUUCCUGCAUUUUCAAAAGGAAAUCAGAUGUUACUGCAUUUACUACAGAUACCCUCUUCAAAACAUAAACAGAUCCCACAGUGAUUCUAGCUAUUUUAAUCAUAUUAACCCAUAUGUUCUUAACUCCACCUUGAGUGUUUUGUGGCCACCCCCUCCAUUUCACUUUUGUUUCAAUUAAAUCUGUUUUGCUGAAGCAUUGUCACAAAACCAGUAAUCCAAUCCAGCUUUAAUUUAAAAUACACCCCCAUCCUUUUAAUCAGCAUUUUGUUUGAUUCCCAUUAGAAUAUAUAUGAUAUAGUGUAUAGUUCAUAAAUGGUGGGUGUUAUCUGUGAUAUAAAUAUGUACAAUUGCUAAAGAUACAAUGAUUGCUGGUAAGGUCCUUGUGAUGAAGGGGGUUUAACAGGUCAUAGCGAGAAAUAUGUGCAUUUUUCCCCAUGUGUCUUCUGGCCUCAACAAUGUGUUGGUGAAAAACAUGGUAUAGAAAUUUUUUAAGUCAUUCAAAGUUUGUACUGAAGCAGUAGAAAAUUGUCCCUCUCUCCCAUUACAGUGUUUAUUAUGUAAGUCACUUGAUGCAAUAGUUUUGCUAGUACAGUGGUAAUAUGAAAACAUGUCUUUUAUAGAAACAGUCUAGAUUUCACUGCUAGAUUCCCUGUGAGAUUAUAUAUAGAUAUAAAAUAAAAAGAAAAAUGGGAACACACUUAUGACCUUGUUAGCGUUUUAAAAAAACCUGAAAUAUUUGUUUUUUAUAGAUUGGAGAAAUCCUGUUGCCUGCUUUGAUUUAUUUUCAGGUCAUUUUUGGGCAGAUAUCUUCAUGUAGCUUUGGUCAUUUAUGGUCCAUUAUAAACCCAUGGUAGAGCUGAUGGUGAACUUGAGAGACAAGCAAUUUUGCUACCUCUGCCCCACAGCUGGUAAAUGCUUCCCGGUAGAUGUUGGCUCCUUUUAAUAAUUACAUGCAUAUUCUUUGGGACGUUACCAUAAGUAAAACCUGUUACUUCAUCUAUUUAUGUCAUCUUAAAGCAUAUUUGGCUUAUUAUGGUAAUUUGUUGUGCAUUGAGGCUUAUGAAGUUUUUGUUCAUCUUAAGUUGUGGAUAACUUUGUAUACCAGUCAUGCAGGAUAAGGAAACAGCAUAUUGCAGAUUGUAUCUUUGAGGACGAAUGUGCGAAGACUGCACACAUGUUGUGAUGAUCCUAAAAAUUAUUUGUACUAUGAUUUUUUUAAAUAUUUUGAUUAUUGAUAAGCUGUGGUCUUAGGGAUGUUGAAGCAAUGGCAUAAAUUGUCCUGCAUUCUUUUUUAAGUUUUUGGGAGGUAGAGGGAGGAUUGGAAAAAUUUUCUAACCAUAGAUUAGUCAGAUUUUUGUUUUAAUUCAGAUAGUUUGUCACUUGUCAUUUGAAGCUAAAAUCUUAAGAUCUAAUCCACCAAACAAAAAUUAUGACAAAUCUUUUGAUCAGAUCAGAUACCCAUUUUUUGCUGGUAUUAUGCAAAUACUAGUGUAUGUGGAGAUCAGGCCAAAUGACUGAGAAGGUAGCUUUUGCUUUGUAGUCAGAGGUGAUUCAGUUAGUGCUCAUUGAUAGCUUGACGUUUGUAAUGGUAGUAAAGCGAAAAAUGUUAACUGUCUGGCAGUAGUAUCAGACUUUUGUCCAUAGACUGGUAGUUCUUAGAAUGGCUACUUCCAGUUUAUAUCCAGUGCUGAGAUGUCUUCAUAGACUUUGUUUAUGCUGAUCUGUUUCUUUCAUCAGACUCCUUUGUAUAUAUAUGUGUGUGUGUGUGCAUGUGUAGCUAGCAGAGAUUUAAAAGGAAAGUAUAUUGGUGGAAAUUCUACACCUGCAUUCUGGCUUAACAGGCAAAAGGAGAAAGAAGUGUGCAAGUCACUUAACCAGUUGGUACCCUGAAAUAAUUAGUGAAUUAUUGUAAAACUAGUAAUAUUCCUUUUGUUUCAUGUCCAUAGUGCAGAAGCACUGCUUGUCAUUAGGAUUUUAUGCAUUUUAACUGAUUUAAAGGGAUAUAAAACAUGGUUAAACUAAUCAGGAUCCUUAAAAAAAAAUGUCGCUAGCAUGCUGUUUUCUCUUCGCAUUUGCAUGCAUAGAGGGUGUGUUGAAUCUUUUCAAACUCUUGACACUUGGUUCACAUUUAGGUUUGCUUCCUGUGAAAAGAGCAUGAUCCCAGGUAUCAGAUUGGUGAAGGAAUGUUUCCUUACAUAGCUGAGCAUUUAACUUAAAUGUUUUUAACAACGCUAGAGGAAAGAUGGACAUAUGUUAAAUGUCACAGCUAAGAGGCAUGAAUGAAAGACACUUGAAAAAUUUGUGCUUAACUGGUAGCAGAAAGUGCAUGAUGGAGCUAUGCAUAUAUGUCUAAAUCCUUGCAUUGUCUUUGCAUGAGCAAAAGGCUGAUGUCAGCUGUAGUGGGUGCUUGCUUUUUCAUUGUGUCACAUUUCAGUUGCAGUUAGUUCUUUCUUAACUGGCUGCAGUGUCUUGAAACAGCAUGUGCAUUUCUUUAUGCACACACCUGUCUGCUACCUCUCCAUAUUUUGGAAACUUAAAGGAAGUAAAGACUGAAAGCUAACCUGUUUCUUUAAAUUGUGUCUAGACUGCUAUUGAUAUGUUUUCACAAAUACACACUUCCAAGCAUUACUGGACACAACAAAAAUACCAGUCACUUAUAGGUAUAGAGACUAAAUAACGAUAAUUUUUACCUUGCUGUCGACCAAUUCACUGUGUUCUUGUAUGUUUGAUUAUUAAGCCAUUAACAACUGUUUGUAAUAAUUUCCUUUUUUUAAAUUUGUGCUUUUCUGCAAAUAGAAAAGAAUUAUAUACUGAUUCUGAUUCAUGAAAGUAGAGGACACUGUACUUAUAUUUAACUUAUUUAUUUGUAUACUUAUAGGAGAUUUUUACUUGUGUCGGAUGUAAAGCAAUCCCAAGACAACGUAAAAUAUCCAGUCUUCAAAACAGAGCUGAGUUAUGGUUUUCACAACUAAAAGUGAUGAUAAAAUUUGGUUACAUAAAACUUAUUAAAUGUUUAUUAAACCACAUGGUCAAGCUUUGUACGUUUGUUGUCAGAAGGGUAGAUGCAUUUAACGGGUCUUCCAAAGGGUGAAGGCAAUAGGCAUGCAACAGGUGGUAGAAGAGCAAAUCUGAAUAUUUUUGUGUAGAAUAAAUUUUGCCAUGUUAAAUAGUGCAGAAUUAACUUGAUAAAGUGAUCAAAACUUGCUUAAUGUUUGUUGUUAGUACAAAUGAGAGUCUUAUUCAAGCCAGUUCUAACAGUUUCUAAACAUAUAGUACCAGUUAAGGUAUCUUUAAAUGUUGUAGCCUUUGUUUAAGAUGGUGGUGAUGUAGCAUGUUGGCACGAUUUACUCAGCGGAGCUGUUACAUAUGCCUGAAAAGGUUUUUCAUAGAUUAAAAGGUGUGAGAAAUGUUGCUUGUAAAGCAUAAUUCAUUCAGAAAUAUUACACAUGUAGUCUGGAGUGUCACUAAUUAGUAGUCAUGAAAACCAAUUUACCAGCACAAGCAUUGGUUGAAGCUACACAAAACUAUCCAAUUAAAAAAAAAAAAUGUUUGAAAAAACAGCGACAGAGUACUACAGUGGUUAUCAUUUAAUGAGUUGGUGACUAUCAGAUUCUACCAACUUUUUUUUCUCCUUAGGUGUUACCAGAUAAAAACAUGAGCGUGACUACGGAAGUUGUACUUCAUAUGGCUUUCAGGUUAUAUUUGUGUUGUUAAAGCAUCAUGUGAAACUUUAGCUAGCAGGACUGCAGCAUGCAUGUUAAAAGAUAUCUUCAGCCAUCCCAGUUUCAGAAGAAACAUUGGCUGAGUAUCUACUGACUGCUAUAAAUAGUCUUUUGUUUGUUUAUAUUUCUCAAAUAGGGUUUGAGUAGACAGCAGUAAAAACUGAAGCACAAAUGAACUGUUUUCUUUGUGCUUUUGUUCCAUGAUGCCAUCCUUCAUGUUUCGUGUGAUCAGUGCCAGACAUGAAUACUACUACAUUCAUUUAAUGGACCCUUUGGUGUAAUUGUAAAGUGAUCAUAGGUUCUAGCCUCUGGCACAUGUUAUUUCUCCACUGUUUAGUGGACUAAACUAGCUUGCCAUGACAUUGCCUUGAUCACUGACUUUACAUAAGCUACAGCUCCCAAAUAAUUACUCAGUAAAUGUUCCAUUCUGUUAUGAAAAAGGCUGAAGACAAAGCAGAAAAAACAUUUGCAUUUUAAGCUCUGGUCUGGGAUGUCCAAGCAUGCAGUUUUGUUGGGCAUGUAUAGAUUUGGAUACUGCUACCAUAAUCACCUUAAGAGAUUCUGUAUCCUGAGUUGGGUUCUGGUCUUGCAUGAACUCUUUCAGCUGCCAAUCAGACCUCCACCCUCCUUUGAUUUACAGUAAUGGUUUGAUCUUCCAGCUACUUUUGUUUAUUUUUGCAUUUCUUGUGCUAUCUGCUCUUCAUCCAAACUGCUGCAGUGGACAUAACUUGAGUGGUCGAGGAAGAUUACACUUGAAAUUUCAAUGGACAUACUAUAGAUUAAUCUUUCCUCCCUCCCUCCCUCCCCCAACCAAAAUCAUUUUUUUUUAAAUAUUCAAUUCUUAUCUAGUCUAGGUUUGACUGUAAGUAGUUCAUAAACAUCUAAUUUGAAUGUAACAUUACUUCCCUUUUCUACUGAGUGCUUAAGCCCUAAAUAGCAUUUGAAUUGGUCGAAGGUUAGUUUGCUGCCUGGAAUAGCCCUUGAAUUAUGGUAUAUUCCAAUUUUCACACCAGGUAACUUUUAUCCCCAUAAAUGCAAAAGGCAAUAUAUUGCUUUCCUUGUGUCUGAUGCAUACCAUUAUUUCUUAUAAAUGCUGCAUAACCAGAAGUGCACCCAUGUAUAUUGGAAACAUUAAACAUGAAGACUACUUUAGAACUUGGGACCUAUAAAAGAUAAAGUAAAUUGUCUUGCAAUUAGUCUAUUAAGCCUAUCUACCCAUAUUAAGUCAAAAACCUUAAGUUAAUGUACAUUGCACUUUAAAGAUUUUUUUAACAGCGCUCUGCAUACUUAACAAUAAUAUGGUAAAUUCUUGACUUCACAUUAGAACUAGCAAGAAUGAGCUGGUAGCUCAGACCUAUGAAAAUGUUAAUUUUUUUUCUUUUUUGACAAGCAUGUAAUAGCACAAAAUUUCUGGAUGGGUAUUAAGAUUAUUUUAUGAAGGGUACAUAGAACAGAGAUUGUUUUAAAUUUGCAUUUAUAGCUUUUGUAAGAAAAUGUCACUGAAUACUGUAUUCCAGUUUCUUCCCACCCCUUUUUUUUCCUUGUCCCUUUCCCCUCAAACUAUGUAUUACCUCUUGGUGGAAGCACUUUCCUGUCAAACCAAGCAUCAUUUUUUCACAUUAUUUUUGUCUAUAGACUCAGCUGUGCAUACACAUGGGAGUUUUUACACCUAUAGCAAAAAUUUGAAAUGCAGUUCUAAGUUAUUGUCCUGUAUUCUAAACAUCCAAUCUAUAAGCAUUGUGUAUGUGCAUGCCUGCAUGCGUAAAUGUCUUCAUUGUCAUAGUUAUCUUCUGGUAUCAUGCCUUUCACAGGUUGUUUAAUCAGCUUUUGAAUGUGAGAGCAAAGGAAUGCAAAAUACAUAUCGGAGAAUGGUUUCCCCCAUGACUGAAUAUAAACAUGUCAAUCUAAAACAUACCCAAGCUCAGUGAGCUUGAGGUGAAAGGAUUAAUAUCUAUCCAUAUAUGCUGACCUUGUUUUAUUGUUAUUUGUGGUGCAUUAGACAGACAUGUCUUUGUUAAUAAAGCUGUCUCUUGUUGAUGCCA